UGAGUAAUGUAUCGGAACGUGCCUAGUAGCGGGGGAUAACUACGCGAAAGCGUGGCUAAUACCGCAUACGCCCUACGGGGGAAAGCAGGGGAUCGCAAGACCUUGCGCUAUUAGAGCGGCCGAUAUCGGAUUAGCUAGUUGGUGGGGUAAUGGCUCACCAAGGCGACGAUCCGUAGCUGGUUUGAGAGGACGACCAGCCACACUGGGACUGAGACACGGCCCAGACUCCUACGGGAGGCAGCAGUGGGGAAUUUUGGACAAUGGGGGAAACCCUGAUCCAGCCAUCCCGCGUGUGCGAUGAAGGCCUUCGGGUUGUAAAGCACUUUUGGCAGGAAAGAAACGUCAUGGGCUAAUACCCCGUGAAACUGACGGUACCUGCAGAAUAAGCACCGGCUAACUACGUGCCAGCAGCCGC
rnacentral:rRNA from 1 species